AGCCAUGAUCGUAAAUGUCUACCUGUUCACCACUAAUUAGGGCCCCCUGUGAAUCAUGGACCAUAAUUAUGGUUCCUAUUCUGUCACGGACUGUAACGAUAAUCUUCUUUGGCAAGAGGAAGAUGAACCUUGCAGUGGAUACUCCAAAGAGAAUAAUCUAUUGACGCAAACACAUGGCGUCAAGACCGUCCAUGUGACCGAGCGUCGUUGGAUAUUUCAAGAAACAGGACCAGCCAGCUGUCAUUAUUAGCGACAGGCGAGCGAGUUAAGCGUUAAAACUGAAUGUAAACAUGGUGACCGAGAGGUGAACGAAACAGCAACAUGGUCUUCGAAAGCGUGGUGGUAGAUGUCCUAAACAGGUUUUUAGGGGAUUACGUUGUAAACCUUGACAGCUCACAACUCAAGCUCGGGAUUUGGGGAGGUGAUGCAGUGCUCAGAAAUCUUGAAAUAAAGGAAAAUGCCUUGAGUCAACUUGACAUUCCUUUUAAAGUAAGAGCAGGGCAUAUAGGACGCUUGGAGUUGAAGAUUCCAUGGAAGAAUCUGUACACCCAGUCAGUGGAAGCCACGCUGGAUGGAGUCUACCUACUCAUCGUGCCCACAGCCAGUAUAAAGUAUGAUGCAGAGAAGGAGGAGAAACAGCUCCAGGAGGCUCGUCAGAGGGAGCUGCAGAGGAUCGAAGAGACCAAACAGAAAGCAGCAGAGCAAGAAAACCCCGCACUUGAGAAGCAGGACACCUUUGUGGAGAAACUUGUGACGCAGGUGAUCAAGAACCUUCAAGUGAAGAUCUCCAACAUCCACGUCCGCUAUGAGGAUGAUGUCACCAACCCCAAUUGCCCCUUUUCAUUUGGAGUGUCACUGCAGAACCUCAGCCUUCAGACAGCAGAUGAGAAUUGGAUGCCUUGUCUCCUGGAUGAGAAAGCCAAGCUGUUUUUCAAGCUUGUCCAGUUGGACAAUCUCUUUGCUUACUGGAAUGUGAACUCGAUGCUGUACUCCAAUCACAUGCCAGAUGAGGCCCUGCGAUGCCUCCAGGACAGCAUCCCGGGGGGUUCCACUCCCAUGAACCACGAUUUCAUUUUUCGUCCGAUAACGGCCGAUGCGAAGCUGCGCAUGAACCCCCGGUCGGAUGUGGACUUCUCCUCUCCCAAGGUGGACCUGGUGGUCAACCUAAGAGAGGUGGCCGUGGAGCUCAACAGACCACAGUACAUCAGCAUUCUGGAGCUCCUGGGAUCAGUGGAUAUGAUGUCACGCAACCUGCCCUAUAGGAAAUACCGGCCGCAAGUCCACGUGCACACCAACGCCUAUCUAUGGUGGCAGUAUGUGAUCACAGGCAUCAUGGAGGUGGACGUGAAGCCGCGGCUGCACAUGUGGUCGUGGCAGCACAUCCGCUGCCACCGGCAGACAGUCAAGCAGUACAGAGAGCUCUACAAGGCCAAGAUCACCAGCAAGAAGCCCACUGAGAAGCAGCUCAGGGAGCUGGAGGAGCCUGAGCGGACUCUGGAUAUUUUUAACAUCACUCUGGCCAGGCAGCAAGCUGAGAUGGAGGCAAGCAAAGCAGGGCUGCGUAUCUUCCGUCCGGGGGUGAAGGUGGAGGAGGAGGAAUCUCAGGGCUGGUUGGGCUGGAUGUGGUCCGGCUGGUCAGGAGACUGUGGCGCCGAGGCCAAGGAGGUCAAGACCGGAGCUUUUGACGAGCUUAUGACUUCUGCUGAGAAGGCCAAACUCUACACCGCCAUCGGCUACAGUGAGAUAGCUGUCAAUCAUAACCUGCCAAAGAACUUUGAGGAUAUGAAGAUUAAUUUCCACAUGGAGAGGAUGUCUGUCUCAAUGAAAGACAACAAGGACCAGAAUGAAAUCCUCAAACUCACAGUUGAAGAUCUGAAAUCCAUGCUGACCCAGAGGCCCGGAGCACAAGCCAUUAAGUUGUCGGCCCAGCUCAGUCUGUUUGAGGUGACAGGACUAGCUAGUAACCGGCCGGCACCCACAUUGCUGUCGUCAAGGAAGGCUGCCACGGUAACGGGGACGCCCUUGUUGGACAUCCUGUUUGAGACCAACCCUCUGGACGAGAGCGCUGAUCAGCGGCUCCGCGUCGAGUCCCAGCCUCUGGAGAUCAUCUAUGAUGCUGUGACGGUAAACAGCAUGUCUGCGUUCUUCUCGCCGCCUGAUGACCUCCAGCUGGACGAUCUGACCAACGCCACUCUCAUGAAGCUGGAGCAGUUCCGAGACCGCACCUCCACAGGACUGAUGUACGUGAUUGAGACCCAGAAGGUUCUGGAUCUGAACGUCAACCUCAUGGCCUCCUACGUAAUCGUUCCCCAAACCGGCUUCUACGACUCCACCCAGAACCUCAUGCUAUUGGACCUGGGCCACUUCAAGGUGUCUAGUCUGAGCAGAGAGGGGCUGCCGCAGCUCUCUGUUGGGAGAAGUACUAUAGAGGACAUUAUGUCCCGGGCCUACGACAGCUUCGACGUUCAGCUCAGCAGCCUUCAGUUCCUCUACAGCAAACCAGAUGGGGACUGGAAGAAAGCCCGUAAGCUGAGGCAGUCGGCCCUCCACAUCCUGGAGCCUGUCGACGUCAAGGUGGUGUUCAGCAGAGCCAUGGUGGUCACAGAUUCCCGCAUGCCCAAGUUUAAAAUCUCCGGGGAGCUGCCCCUCCUGUCUCUGAGGAUCUCUGAUGAUAAGGUGCGGGGCGUGCUGGAGCUGAUCGACAGUAUCCCGCUGCCAGAGAGCAGGCCGGCCCCGCGCAGCACCAACACUCACUCAACAUCCAAGGCUUUAAAGCAGUCGUACACCCCUCAGCUAACCCCCAGGAAACCAACCAUGGCUGAACUGCGCAACUCCCUGAUAUGGGAAUCAGGCUCAGAGGAGGACCUGUUCUACGAUGCUCCCAGCUCUCCUAUAGGAGACCGUCCAUUCUUCCCCGACAACAUGCCCAGCCCCCUGCAGCGCUCCAACUCAGUCAAGAGGAGAGGUCUGGUAAAGAAAGACCCCAAGAAGAACAUGACCGAGUUCCUCAUGACGUUUGAGAUCAGCAAACUGUCCGUUCAGCUGUGUCGUCUCUCUGGAGGCGAGGAGGUCACAGUGUUGCACCUGGAAAUCGAGGGGCUGGGCACCGAGCUGAAGCUACGUACCUUCGACAUGUCAUCCUACACGUUCCUACGAGAGAUCUGCCUGGAGUGCCCCGAGUACAUGGAUUCAGAGGAGAAGAAAGUGCACCUGAUCACCACUCUAGACAACACAGAGGAUGACCUCCUCACAUUGGAGUACACUAAGGCUGAUAAGAAUGGGCCAGAAUUCAAGUCUGAGUACAAGAACACUGAACAAUCAGUUAAGGUGAACUUCUCGUCUCUGGACAUACACCUGCACACGGAGGCUCUGCUCAAUGCCAUGAACUUCCUGAUCAGUCUCCUCCCCCCGACCAAGGAGGUGGCGCCCAGCCAGGAGGAGCUGCCCACCAUCCCAGAGGAGGACGAGGGAGAGGGGGAGGAAGGCGAGAAGAAAGAGGGAUCGGCUGUGGCAAAAAAAAACUCUUCUAAGAAGUCAAAGUUUGAGGAUGUGGUGAAUUUGCACAUCAGAGCCGAUCUCAACUGUCUGAAGGUUUUCAUCCGAGGCCAGAGCCACAGGAUAGCGGAGAUCCGCAUCGAGGGCCUGGUGUCGGAGGUGCUGAUGAGGAAAAAAGCGGUAGAGGUUCUGGCCAACCUGAAGAACAUAGUCAUCCUGGACUGUGAUAAGGAGGCGUUGUACAAGCAGUGUGUGUCCAUAGCUGAUGAGGAGGUGUUUGCUUUCCGCAUGGUGAACCACACUGAAGCCACGGAGGGCGACGCCUAUCUAGACAUGGGUAAAGUGGACACCAGCGUCACCCUGACGGUGGGCUGCAUCCAGGUCAUCUUCCUCAACAAGUUUGUCUCCUCCAUCCUGGCCUUCAUCAACAACUUCCAGGUGGCCAAGGAGGCCCUGGCUGAGGUGACGGUGCAGGCGGCGGAGAAGGCGGCCACGGGGGUGAUGGAGCUGGCUGAGCGCAGCACCCGCAUCUCCCUGGACGUGGACUUCAACGCUCCCGUCGUCUUCCUGCCGCAGUCGUCGUCCUCCGCCAACGUCAUCGUGGCCGACCUCGGUAUGGUCACGGUCAAGAACCGCUUCGCCAUGGUCCCCUCCCAAAUGCACGUCAAGAUCCCUCCCGUCAUGGACACCAUGACCGUGGGCCUCAGCGACCUCAAGAUGUACAGAACCACCUUUGAGGAGGGGAGGUUUCAGGGGGAAAUCCAGCUUCUGAAGCCGGUCAACCUGGACCUGUCCAUCCAGAGGAACCUGUCAGCCUCCUGGUACCACAGCAUCCCCGACAUAGAGAUCACUGCUCACCUCAAACCAAUGAACCUGAUCCUGGGUCAGGAUGAUAUGACGGUGGUGUUGAGGACUCUGAGUGGGAACCUGUCAGAGACGUCAGACUCUGCUUCCCCCCCUCCUCCUCCGCGUACUGUGGACCGCUCCGACACGGCCUCUACCAAAGGCUCACAGGCGUCAGGAGGUACUGGUAGUAACCCCACCAGCGGCAACACGGUGGUAACUGCUGCAGUGGUGGAGACCCAGAAGAGCACCAAGCUGAAGAGCACACUCAAACUGGACUUCAAGUUUGACUCCAUGACCCUGGUCCUGUACAGCCCCAAUGGGACUGAGGUGCAGGUGUUGGACUCGAGGGAUGAGCAGCUGAAGCUGGCUGAGUUCACCCUGGGGACUAUCUCUACAUCUGUCCACAUGUUCUCAGACGGAUCUAUGAAGGCCUCCGUCAAACUCACAGACUGCCUGCUAGACGACAAAAGAUGCAGGGUCAAGAAGAUCACUGCCAGGAUGAUGGCGAUGCGUCCGGGCGCUGAGAGGAAUGUGAUGGUGGAGGUGAACUACAAGCAGGGCCGCGACGGCACCUCUUUGGACACGGUGGUGCAGGACGUGUACCUCUGUGCCAGCAUGGAGUUCCUGCUCACUGUGGCCGACAUCUUCCUCAAAGCCAGCCAGCAGGGCUUCUCCUCCGCCACCCCCAAGAACAGCAGUAGCACUAAACCCACUGCAGCCGCAGCCUCCAAGGAAUCUGCUCCAGUGGGGGUGGUGGCAAAGUCAGAGAUUAAUGUUCUGGUGAAGAACCCCGAGAUUGUGUUUGUGGCCGACCUGACACGUGCCGACGCCCCGGCCCUGGUCAUGACCACGGAGUGCGAGCUGGUGAUGAAGAGCGACCUGGACGGUCAGUUGAUGACUGCGGUGGUCAAGGACCUGAAGGUGGUGGCCUGCCCCUUCCUGAAGGAGAAGAGGAACAAGGAGACCACUGUGCUGCAGCCCUGCCAAGUGUUCUUCAAGAGCACACAGUCCUCCACCUCCCCGCAGGCCAUGGAGGUCUGCAUCAACGCACUCACACUCAAGGUGUCGCCCAUCAUUAUCAACACCGUGAUUACCAUUCAGUCGGUGCUGAGCCCGGCCGGUGCCGAGACACCCCAGUCUGAGCUGGAGAGCCCCGUGCCCCCAGACCUGUGGGAGCGCCGGUCCUGGAGGGACCUCAAGCUGUGGUUCCUGGAGGAGGAGGGUAAAGACGAGGAUGCCCAGUCCCUGGUCCCGCUGAUUCCCCAGGGCGAGUCCCUGCAGUUGGCCAUCAACUCCAUCUGCCUGACACUGGAGGCAGGGGUGGGCCACCGCACCGUCCCCAUGCUCCUGGCCAAGUCCUCCUUCCACGGUGACGUCAAGAACUGGAGCACCCUCAUCAACCUGCACAGCCAGCUCAACCUGGAGGUUCACUACUUCAACGAGGUGAUGGGGGUGUGGGAGCCACUGCUAGAGCCCCUAGAAGACGAGACCCGAGAUGGAUUCAGACCCUGGACCCUGGGAUUAAAGAUGAAGAAGAAGCCAGUGAAGUACACAGGUAUAUCAGAAGAAGUGGACUACAGCAUCCCUGACUACAAGACCGUCAUCAGCAUCAGCAGCAAGGACCAACUUAACAUCACCCUCUCCAAGUGUGGACUGGGCAUGCUCAGUAACCUGGGCACGGCCUUUGCGGAGGCGGCCAAGCAGGCAUCGGAUAGUUUCCAGAAGGACGAGGCUCCGUUCGUCGUGAAGAACCGUCUAGGUCUGACUGUGUCGGUGGUGCACAGUGAGCUGUUCAGCCCCCUGGGUCGCGAGGCCACGGCGCGCCGGGUAGAGCUGCAGGACGGAGAGAGCCUCAACAUGGACUACCGUCGCACCACCACCCACUCAGACCAGUUCUCUGCCAUGACUUCAUUGGUGGCCAAGGACUACUACAUACAGCCCACUCCGGUGGGCCACACUUCAACAGGCAUGAUCCCGUUGAUCAAAGUGGGGCGUGGCAUGUACAGUGUCAUGCACAAAGACUCUGGGGUCACCCGUUUCCUGGUCUGUCAGAUCUACUCUGUGGAGGGAAGCAAGUACAUCAAGAUCCGCUCUCCCUUCCAGAUCAUAAACCACUUCUCCAUCCCAUUCAGAGUGAUGGAGGGCUCUACCAGUCUGGGGAUAUCACUGCCUACAGAGGAGUUCUGUGUGCCUCUGGACUCCUACAGGUCAGAGCUAAGACUGCAGCCGGUAACCGAGGGAGACGAUCAGUACGACUGCUCCGAGGGUUUCAGCUACGAGUUGGUGAGCCAGCAGCCCGGUGCACGUGUGCAGCAGACCUGUCAUCGCCAUGGUGACAGCGCUGGUGUCCUCAUGGUCAACAUCGUCCCUCUGAAAGACACGGUAACAUCACAACACACAGGAAUGGCCGGGGAGAACUUUGACGAGCCCUACAUCCUGCACCUGUGGCCCUCCGUCCUGCUCCGGAACCUUCUGCCUUACCCCAUCACCUAUCGCCUACAGGACAGUGAAGAGCCCACCCCCAUCACCCUGAUGGACGGCCACUCGGCCCAGCUGCACACCGCCAUCAUGGACCAGUCCAGCCUGGAACUCCGCCUUCUCGACUACCUGGGCCAGGAUUGGCAGGCCCACUACGGUCUCUGUGGCGACCUGGAUGAGAUCACCUUCAUUGUGUUCAGCUCUCUGCGCGAUGAAGAGGAGGUGGUCAGGUUAGGAGAAGGGAAGAGGGCGGAGCUCGAUAUUGCGGUGCAUGUGAAGUACGACGCGGGCCAGACUGAGGUGGCCAUCCAUUCUCCCUACUGGAUGGUGAACAAGACUGGCCGCCUGCUGCAAUACAAGGCCGACGACAUCCACCGCAAACACGCCAUGGACUACGAUAUGCCUCUGCUCUUCUCCUUCAAGCCACACAACUUUCUGCAGAACAACAAGGUGCGGCUGAUGAUCUCGGACAGCGACCUGUCGGAUGAUUUCUCCCUGGAUACCGUGGGUAGUUAUGGUGAAGUGAAGUGCAAAGGGAGGCUUAAAGAUUACGUGAUCGGAGUGAAGAUCGACGCCAGCAGUUUCAGCCUGACCCGUAUCGUAAGCUUUGUGCCAUACUACCUGUUAGUGAACAGGACCAAACAUGUGAUCUGGGUGGGAGAGGAGGGCCAGGACGACUGGACCGAGGCCAGACCACAACAGGCAGCCAUCCCGUUUUGGCCUGAGAGGGACUCCAAGAAGCUCAAAGUCAAAGUAGAAGGCAGUCGGUCAACUCCUCAAACCAUGGACUUCACCAAACCGGAAAACUGCCUGCUGCUGCAUCUGGACAACACUCUGGGCGGAGUCAUUAUGGAUGUGAACCUAUCGGACCACUCGAUUAUCAUCCGUUUCUCUGACUACCACGACGGGGCCGCCCCCUUCCUCAUCAUCAACCACACCCAGGAGCAGACGGUGGAGUUCUACCAGAGAUUUCGGAGAGAUUCAUCAGAAUGGGUGGCAGACGAGCUGCUCGGCCUCUCCUUCUCAGUAGAGGAGACCCAGCCCAGUAGUCAGAAGGAGAAGGACAAGCUAAGCCCCGGGAAGGCAAUGUACUACACCUGGGCUGAGCCCACUGGAUCGCGCUCUCUGGCCUGGCAGUGUGGCAGCUACAGCGGCGAGCUGAGGAGCGAAGAGGACCUGCGGUUGGACGUGAACGAGGAGGGUAAGCUGUACCUCAUCUCGUUCUACGAGGGCCUCCAGCGGGUGGCGCUGUUCACCGAGGACAGACGCAUAUACAAGCUGCUGUGUGAGAGUGAGAAGGCCGAGCUGGCUGAACAGGAGAUAAUCCUCUCCCUGCAAGACGUGGGCGUCUCCCUGGUCAACAACAGCAGCCGCCAGGAGGUGUCCUUCAUCGGUAUUACCAGUUCAGACGUGGUGUGGGAGUCCAAGCCAAAGAAAAAGUCUCGCUGGAAACCCCUGAGUGGAAAAGAUGCCGAGCUGCUGGAGACCCACUUCAAAGAGUACACAGAGAGUGGACCAGUGGACAACGCCAUCUUAGACCUGGAGAACAACUUCCAGGUGUCUUUGACCCAUAAUGGGCAAGACAUGAGGAUGAUGCAGCCAUAUGACGCUCCAAUCAGGAGGAGCUUCCUGCCAGGGGUGAAGGUGGAGUACAGCGUAUCGGCCCGCCAGAGUGCCUACCGUGUCCAGAUCAACCGCAUACAGAUCCAGAAUCAGCUACCUGGAGCAAUCUUCCCAUAUGUCUUCUACCCUAUAAAACUACCUAAGUCUGUCACCAUGGACUCAGAGCCCAAACCUCUGACCGACAUCAGCAUUGUUACCAGGGCAGCAGGGCACUCUGAUAUCUCACGCAUCAAGUAUUUCAAGGUGCUAAUCCAGGAGAUGGAUCUGAAGUUGGACCUGGGCUUCCUUUAUGCCAUCUUGGAUCUGUUCACUCCGGAGAACGCCAGCGUGAUGACGUCAGAGCAGCAGGUGGAGUUGUUUGAGAAGGACAUAGAGUAUCUGAAGACGGAGCUCAACGACGUCUCGGCCACUGACACAUCCCCUAUCAGUCUCUAUGAGUACUUCCACAUCUCUCCUAUCAAGCUGCACCUCAGUUUCUCUCUGAGUUCUGGAGGAGAGGAUGGUAACAAGGAGAAGAGGGAGACCGAGAUCAUCCCUGUCCAGUCCCUCAAUCUGCUGCUGAAAAGCAUCGGAGCAACCCUCACUGACGUGCAGGAUGUCGUCUUCAAAUUGGCCUUCUUCGAGCUGACCUUCCAGUUUCGCACUCGCCAGCAACUACAAUGGGAGGUCAUCAGACACUACUCGAAACAGGCGAUAAAGCAGAUGUAUGUGCUGGUGUUGGGCUUGGACGUGCUGGGAAACCCCUUUGGACUGAUCCGAGGUCUGUCGGAGGGAGUGGAGGCUUUCUUCUACGAGCCCUAUCAGGGAGCUAUCCAGGGGCCAGAGGAGUUUGUGGAGGGUAUGGCGCUGGGGGUGAAAGCGCUGGUUGGAGGAGCAGUAGGUGGCAUUGCGGGCGCUGCCUCCAGGAUCACAGGCGCCAUGGCGAAGGGUGUGGCUGCCAUGACGAUGGACGAGGAGUACCAGCAGAAGAGACGGGAGGCUAUGAACAAGCAGCCUAGCGGCCUGAGAGAGGGCCUGACCCGCGGAGGCAAAGGACUGGUGUCUGGCUUUGUCAGUGGGAUCACAGGGAUUGUCACCAAGCCUAUUAAAGGUGCUCAGAAGGAGGGCGCGGCGGGCUUCUUUAAGGGUGUGGGCAAGGGGCUAGUGGGUGCUGUGGCCAGACCCACUGGAGGCAUCAUCGACAUGGCCAGCAGCACCUUCCAGGGCAUCAAGAGGGCAGCUGAGACGUCCCAGGAUGUGGAGAGUCUGCGUCCGCCUCGCUUCAUCCAUGAGGACGGGGUCAUCCGACCAUACAAGGAAAGAGAGGGCAUCGGCAGCCAGAUGCUACAGAAAAGGUUGGCCUUCACUGAAUGGAGUAGGACUGGCAAUGAUGAUGAUGAUGAUGAUGAUGACAGCUAGAAUGGAAUUGCUAAGUCCUAGUUGAUGCUUUGGUCUUCCAUAGCUUUUAAUGUGUUGUCAGUCAAUGUGGAGUAGCCUGCUCCAGCAGGAUAUUUUUAACAUUCAGUGCAUCCCGAAUAACACGACUAACCAACUGCCAGCCAAUUUGUCAUUCUCGGCUGUUUGUAUGUUUUGGUUACUCUAGACGUACACUGUAUUUCAAUAGUUUUUAUGAAACACCCAUGUAUUCUCAGGAUUCUGCUGCUGCAGGACCCCUCUUGUCAAGUAAAAGCAUAAUUCUACUUAAUUGAACCGUCUUCUGUCAUCCAACCUUCUACCCUAUCAUGUAAGGGGGAGGAGUCAGAAAGCCAAGAGACUCGUCAAUCAUACUCUUUGAUCUGAGAAUAAUUCAUAAUUUUCUAUUUUGGAGCAAGUUUAUAUUAUUCACUUUAUCUGGAAUCCUUAAAGGGACACGUCUGGAUUGUUGUAUCUACUUCCUCAGAGUCAGAUGAACUAGUGGAUACUAUUUUUGUGUCUCUGUGUCCAGUAUGAAGGUAGUUGGAGGUAGUUUUGCAAGCCAAUGCUAACUAGCGUUAGCACAAUGACUGGAAGUCUAUGGGUAUCUGCUAGCAUGCUCACCUCUGUCCACAAAACAGAAACGAUACCAAAGGGUGCUUGGGUGGACAGUGGUGCUGUUUCCCCUAAUGCAGAUUCCAUCUUUAAGUUAAUAUGAAAUCUGUUGUAUUGGUCUGGACUGGAUUCAUGCAAUAGUCAGUCAGCAGUCCUCCCUCUUGGCAUUUUGGCACCUCCCUCUUUCAUGAGACUCCUUGCUAUGCGUGCAGUCACAUACAUCUUACCGGCACAACUUCCCUUCUGAAUAAAGUGCAUUUUGAAACAUCUAUAUCGUCUUCUCAUCCCUACCUUUUCCCUUCACCAACACUCAUUAACAUGCUUUUAUGAGCAGUUUAUAAACGGUCCAUAACAGGUAUACAUUGGACUCAAUAACGUAUCAGUUUACCGCAGUGGAACAUUUUAGAUGUCGUUUGACAUGUCUCCGGGUCAAAGACCAUGGCCCUGUUUUUGACUAUUUUUUAAAUGCAACCUUGGUUCCCUUGACGUGAUCACUGAUCUUAUGCCAUUUGAUGUGUAAGCAACUGUUGUAGCAGAGCUUUCUUCGAUCCACCCAUGUCAGAAUUUCUUCAAAGAAGAUGUAAUCAAACGGGGGCCUAGGAUGUGUCCAGUAUACAAGGUGUUGUCAGGUCAGGAGGUGAAGUAGGUGUAGAUCAGCAACAAUACCAUCAGAUCAUCUGCCAGAGCAACAUCCUGAAGCCAUUUUAAUCAAACUUUGGAUAAAGGUACCGAGUGACUCGUUUGUGUAUCAUAUCAACAGUAGACUUAGCGUAGCAAAUGUGUUUUUAUAUACCCAAUUUGAUAAAUGUGUGCAUAUCUUCUCAAAUGUGCUUGAACAAAGUUAAUAUUUCUCUUUUAGAAAAUUGAAAACGGAAGGUUCGCCAAGUACAGAUACUUUGCGCACGCCAAAGUGAACGAGUCCGAUUUCCUGAUGAUCACCAAAAGGGGAAUCUUUUUCGUGACCAAAGGUACAUUUGGGCAGCUGACCUGCGAGUGGCAGUAUCUGUUCGACGAGUUCACCAAGGAGCCCAUGAUCGUGGAGGGGAGGCGGCUUCGGAUCGAGGCCAAGGAGAGAGUGAAGUCUGUGUUUCAUGCCAAAGAGUUUGGGAAGAUAAUAAACUUCAGAAGUCCAGAAAUAGCCAAGUGGGUUCUUACCAAGCUUGAAGACGCCAGGGAGAGUCUACACAAAUACUGAUUGGCCACUCUAAUAGGGCCACCAACCAGCACUGAGACAUGACAAAAAAGUACAACGUUGACUGUUAUAGUGUGUGUGUAUGCAUGCUAGGAGAGUAGGGUGUGCCUCCAUCAGUGUACUACUAACUCUCAGGUUAGACUUUCUCUUUCAUUCACACACACACACACACACAGACUGUCUGGACAUCUUGCAGACACACACGGACUCCACUAUCACAAACACCAUCACUGUUUCAGUUGUACACAGCAAUAUGGCAGGAAUAUCGGCUAACUCCUUGCACUACUGUAAGCCUGCAUGUGGUUGUACCCGAAGAGGCCGCGGUGGGAGUAUUUGAUGGCGGCAAACCUCUCUCGGAUGUUCUGUCGGUGUCACAGGUGAAGUGGGAGUAGACAGUCUUUUCUCGGUCUGGGUUCUGCUCCUGGUACAUCUUCAGGAUGAACUCCCUGGCUGCUUUAGGGUCAUUCUGCAGUCCUGGAAAUGAGCUUUAGUUCUGAUGUGUGGAGUCAGCCUCUAUCUCUAUGUCAGCUUGCAGUCUGUCUGUAAAACGAUGUUUGUGUUGUGAACACACUGUCACCGCUCCGGUUGUACACAACUAUGUGCUAGAAAUUUCUCCUUUUUCCCCAAAUAAAUGUUUUUUUGUUGUUUUCGUUGACAAAGUAGGGUACCUGAAUGACUUUUCAAACUGCCACUGUUGAAGUAGCCCUAUCCAUCACAUUUCAAUCCGUUUGCCAGUUACUGAGUGAUGUGCUUGAAAAGAGAUUGUGGCCAAAUGUGAAGUAUUAUUGUGGGAGCACUGGGUUUAACUGCCUUGAUAUGUAUAUGUUACACACACUGUUAUUUUACUGGUUUAUAUAGGAUGGGGGGACACACACACAUACACACGUUAAACUGUUCAUCUGCUUGUUGUGAUAGUUAUUCUGUACCAAUACUCCCCCUCUUCCUAAAUCACUAACUUGUGUUUUUCUAUACAUUUCUGCAAGCUAUGACUUUGCACGUGAUCGAAAAAAGCAUGCUAUUUUUAUACAGUACACGUUGAUCUGCUGUAAAAUGAUUUCAAUAGAGUAUCCUGUGUGUAUAUACAGGUAACUUCCAAAAUAAAGGAAACACCAACAUAGUGUCUUUUAAUAGGGCAUUGGGCCACCCAAACAGCUUCAAUGCGCCUUGGAAUAGAUUAUACAAGUGUCUGGAACUCUAUUGGAGGGAUGCGAAACCAUUCUUCCACAAUAAAUGUAAUAUUUUAGUUUUGUUGAUGGUGGUGGACAAUGCUUGGAAUCUGGUGACUGAGACACCCUGGGGCGGCAGGGUAGCCUAGUGGUUAGAGCGUUGGACUAGUAACCGGAAGGUUGCAAGUUCAAAUCCCCGAGCUGACAAGGUACAAAUCUGUCGUUCUGCCCCUGAACAGGCUGUUCCACUGUUCCUAGGCCGUCAAUGAAAAUAAGAAUUUGUCUUGCCUAGUUAAAUAAAAACAACAACAAAAGACACCCGCUCCUUUGAGACCUCUCAUGGGCAACUGGGCAAUUUUAUAUUAUGACCCUAAGCAUGAUGGGAUGUUAUAUGGUUAAUUUACUCAGGAACCACACCUUUGGAAGCACCUGACUUCAAUAUAAUUUGUACCCCUCAUUUACUCAAGUGUUUCCGUUAUUUUGUAAGUUGUGUGUAUACAUAUAGAUAUCGCUCUCUAUUUAAGACAGGCGGCACCUUAAUUGGGGAGGACGAGCUCAUAGUAAAUGGCUGGAAUGGAAUAAAUGUCAAUGGUAUCAAACACAUGGAAACCAUGUCUUUGUUCUGUACCAUUCCAUGUGUUUAAUACCAAUCCAUUCUAGCCAUUGUUAUGAGCCGUCCUCCCCUCAGCAGCCUCCUGUGAUUUAAGAUAAUCAAUUGAGGGGUUGUAUCUCAUCAUUGCCGAUUUUCAUGUUUUUAUACAGCAGGUAUGCAAUGCCAUUAACGAUGAAGAGUUAUGCAAUGGAGAGACACAUUUCAAAUAAAUUGUCAGCUGCUACAUUCAUACUCAAAUGUUUUAAAGGUUUGUUUUGGUUUGGGGUCACUAAUGUAACUAAAUUAUUUCAUAUGUUUUGCCUUUGUCAGCAAGUGCUCUCAUUGUGAGACAGUAUAAAAUCACUGGUGCAGGUAAAGUUCUGACAUUUUUUUGAAAAAUAAAGGGUCUAUUUAA